CACCCUCCUUUAACCUUGAUAUCCUCUACCACCUUGAACAAGUUGUGGUACUUGAACAUGCUCAACCUUCAAGAAAUAGAAGCAUUGGUGUUCUUUCAAAUGACAUCACGACUGCCUUAGAUUAAAACUUGAAGGAGGUGACAUUCCCCAGAAAAGUUGUUCACCAUACCAUCCCAUGUUGGGCUUGCCCCCAGUCCAGAUCAACAGUUUGUUGAGGAAAAGC